CUCCCAAUUCCGCUCCUCCCCUUCCUUCGACUCCCGUUGGGCGAGCGUCCGCCACCCGUCCCCGUAGAAAUUCGGGCGCCCGCUCAACUGCUUUGCCCGCUCCCUCCUCGCCCUCCCCCCUUCUGGCCGGUUUUUCUCCGCGUACGCGUGCCCAUCGUUUUGUUGGCCUCCCUGCGAAUCUCCCCAUUGGAGAUAUCGAAUCUGUGCGCCAGGCCCUGCGCGAGGCGGAGGCGUGCACUGCACUCCUACGCGCGCGCCUUGAGAUCCUGGAGUCCUUGGCGCAGGCCGAGUUUUAGUUUCCUUUUUGUUGCGUACGGACGUUUCUGGGGGUUGUUGGUUUGGGCGUUUUCGUUGGCGUACGCCUUUUCUUUUGUUUUUGCGACGUCCAUGUAUUUUUAGGAGUCGGGCGAAGCCCUUGCGGCGGCCAUUAGGGCUGCGCGCGAAUAGAUCUUUUUCCUGGUUUUCUCUUUUUCCUUCCUUUCCUAGUCGUUAAUCUUACGCGACCUUUUACCGGUUCUACGCUUGACGACUAGGUGCGGC
rnacentral:sRNA from 1 species